GAUGAACGCUAGCGGUGUGCCUAACACAUGCAAGUCGAGCGGGGUUUAUGUAGAGGGAGUGCUUGCACAAACGAAAUAUAAACCUAGCGGCGGAUGGGUGAGUAACACGUGAGCAACCUGCCUUUGACUGGGGAAUAACAGCGGGAAACCGUUGCUAAUACCGCAUGAUAUUGCAUAUUCGCAUGGAUAAGCAAUCAAAGAUUUUAUCGGUCAAAGAUGGGCUCGCGUCCGAUUAGCUAGUUGGUAAGGUAAAGGCUUACCAAGGCGACGAUCGGUAGCCGGACUGAGAGGUUGAACGGCCACAUUGGGACUGAGACACGGCCCAGACUCCUACGGGAGGCAGCAGUGGGGAAUAUUGGGCAAUGGGCGCAAGCCUGACCCAGCGACACCGCGUGAUGGAAGAAGGCCUUCGGGUUGUAAACAUCUUUGGACAGGGACGAUAAUGACGGUACCUGUAGAACAAGCCACGGCUAACUACGUGCCAGCAGCCGCGGUAAUACGUAGGUGGCAAGCGUUAUCCGGAAUUACUGGGUGUAAAGGGCGCGUAGGCGGUUAUUUAGGUUGGUUGUUUAAUUCCUAGGCUUAACUUAGGAUUGUCGACCAAAACCGGAUAACUUGAGGAUCGGAGAGGACAGUGGAAUUCCUAGUGUAGCGGUAAAAUGCAUAGAUAUUAGGAGGAACACCAGUGGCGAAGGCGACUGUCUGGCCGAUAACUGACGCUGAGGCGCGAAAGCGUGGGUAGCAAACAGG
rnacentral:rRNA from 1 species